GGCAGUGUGGCCGAGUGGUCUAAGGCGCCAGACUCAAGAUUACUUGCUGACGUCAGUCAGUUGAGAAUUCUGGUCCGCGAUGCGGGCGUGGGUUCGAAUCCCACCGCUGUCA
rnacentral:tRNA from 1 species